rnacentral:rRNA from 1 species
UAGCAUAUCAAUAAGCGGAGGAAAAGAAACCAACAGGGAUUGCCCUAGUAACGGCGAGUGAAGCGGCAACAGCUCAAAUUUGAAAUCUGGCCCUCGGGUCCGAGUUGUAAUUUGUAGAGGAUGCUUUUGGUGAGGUACCUUCCGAGUUCCCUGGAACGGGACGCCAUAGAGGGUGAGAGCCCCGUCUGGUUGGAUACCAAACCUCUGUAAAGCUCCUUCGACGAGUCGAGUAGUUUGGGAAUGCUGCUCUAAAUGGGAGGUAUAUGUCUUCUAAAGCUAAAUACCGGCCAGAGACCGAUAGCGCACAAGUAGAGUGAUCGAAAGAUGAAAAGCACUUUGAAAAGAGAGUUAAAAAGUACGUGAAAUUGUUGAAAGGGAAGCGCUUAUGACCAGACUUGGACUUGGUUGAUCAUCCUGGGUUCUCCCUGGUGCACUCUUCCAGUUCAGGCCAGCAUCAGUUCGCUGCGGGGGAUAAAAGUUUUGGGAAUGUGGCUCCCUCGGGAGUGUUAUAGCCCAUUUCAUAAUACCCUGCUCCGGACUGAGGUUCGCGCAUCUGCAAGGAUGCUGGCGUAAUGGUCAUCAGCGACCCGUCUUGAAACACGGACCAAGGAGUCGUCUUCGUAUGCGAGUGUUCGGGUGUUAAACCCCUACGCGUAAUGAAAGUGAACGCAGGUGAGAGCUUCGGCGCAUCAUCGACCGAUCCUGAUGUUCUCGGAUGGAUUUGAGUAAGAGCAUACGGGGCCGGACCCGAAAGAAGGUGAACUAUGCCUGUAUAGGGUGAAGCCAGAGGAAACUCUGGUGGAGGCUCGCAGCGGUUCUGACGUGCAAAUCGAUCGUCAAAUAUGGGCAUGGGGGGCGAAAGACUAAUCGAACCUUCUAGUAGCUGGUUUCCGCG